GUGGGCCCUCGAAAUCCUGUGGUGGGGACAUUCAGUCUGGGUGUCGUGUCGCAGGCUGAGCAUGCAUUAUGGUUCCCGCGACGGGGCCGGCUCGGCUAGCGUUGCGCGGCAAACUGACGCAUUUGUUUCCCACCCAAAGGACGCCGCAACCGGUUGGUGGACGGUCUUAAGGGCGAGAGCUGGCAGGUGGCCGGCGGCGUGCACUGGUGUGCCGCCGGUUGUUAGCCUUCUCGCAGGACGGCCCGUUCGCCGACCGGGGCAAUAAAGAGGCCCGGCUGGGCUUCGUCGUCUCCUCCCAUGGCUAGCGAGUAAAGAAGCGUCGCAGGAGUUCGGAGCAGUGUAGACACACGGAGCGAGUUCGUGGUCACACGCUGCCUCGUCUCUGUUGGCUUGAUGCAAGGCUCGCGGGAGUGAUUGACGGUUCGCGGCGAGUAGAUCGGUCACCCACCUGACCCGUCUUGAAACACGGACCAAGGAGUGGAACAUGUGCGCGAGUCAAUGGGUCUUGAAUAAGCCCGGCGGCGCAAUGAAAGUAUAGGUCGGA
rnacentral:rRNA from 1 species